rnacentral:sRNA from 1 species
UAAUAGCCCCGAUAGCAGCGGCAUCCUUUUUUGCUUGGCAAGGCUUGUUCAUAAACCAUUGUACUGCAAAAAAGAUAGAGCGGAUAGCGGGAAACAGC